UCUUCUCUCUCUCUCUCUCUCUCUCUCUCUCUGUGUCAAUUUUUCUCCUUUAUGAAAUGGAUGCAAUCUAGUUCGGGGUUAGUGAUUAUUCAGUCCUCUAACAUAACAUACUGAUUUCCCAUGCACUGAUGGAAGAUCAUUUUUUUGCUUGCAACACCUCUUUCCACCUUCCAGAGUCUUUGUUGUAAAUUACUUACAGCCAUAAUCAUGUUGUUACGGCCAGAAAUCGUCUUAGGCUGCUAACCUUGACGGAUGUGAAAACACAAGAGAGUGAACAUCAGCUGCUUUGGUGGGGGACUCUUUGAUGCCUAAGUUAGAUCUACAGGUAUAGGUUACAUAUUGUUCAUGUAUAUUGGAGGAUGUUCUGUAGUUUAUAAGUAUUGUCCCGAAAUUAAUUCAGACUCAUUAAGUAGGAAAUUUCUGAUUUCUGAAUUAUAUGGUUUGGGUAUGCAAUUUAGGAAGAUAUUUGAAAGUUGUAUUAGUAUGGAAUUUUAAUUGCUGUAAUUGGUCACUUUGUGGACUGUAUAAUGACCCUAGAGGAAAUAAAAUACCUACACCAUGCUGCCAUGGGCAUUAGCCCUCGGCCAUAAGCAUCCCAAGUGAAGGAAGUCAGCAGAACAGCAUGUAGGGUUGUAGAAAAUGCUGUUGAAACCAAUCCGUCAGUUGGGCAAGCGGCCAGCCAGUCGAACCUGCUAGUUGGGUGUUUUUAGGUCAUAUUAGUCCCUUUUAUGAUGAAUUAUACCAUGCCCUUGUGGGUUAUGUUUCUUACCUUUUACCUAAAUUUAACCCAUGGGUAAGGGAAGCUUGGGAAAAUUUUUGAGGCUUUAAAUUAGAUUAGUAUGUGGGCUAUUGGGAGCCAUUUUGGGUUCAACAGCAUAUUAGGUGGAAGUAGGUGUUGUAAAUGUUUAACAAAAUGAUGCACCAUUGGUUAGGAACCAAAACAAUCGGUGAGGACAUGCGAUUGAUUGCGGGGAUCCUAUUGUACUUUGUGAUUUGGGUUUUGAGAUGGUGGAACUGUUGCAGAGGCAAUAUUGGAUUUCAGCGGCUGUUUUGUGGCUUGUGUCUACGAGACAUCGGCUUGCUGAUGGACUUCACUUUAAUUAUUUCAGUUAUUUCUGUUGAUGUAUAUAUUGAUGACAUAUGUAAUGUAAAUAUUAUACAUGUGGGUUGUUAACAAAUGGAUCCUGUAUAUUUGUAAAAUUAUCAUGUAGUGGAUCACCAGUGUUAUUGUA